UACGAAGGGGGCUAGCGUUGCUCGGAAUCACUGGGCGUAAAGCGCACGUAGGCGGACUCUUAAGUCAGGGGUGAAAUCCCAGAGCUCAACUCUGGAACUGCCUUUGAUACUGGGUAUCUCGAGUAUGGAAGAGGUGAGCGGAAUUCCGAGUGUAGAGGUGAAAUGCGUAGAGAUCGGAAAGAACACCAACGGCGAAAGCACUCUGCUGGGCCGACACUGACACUGAGAGACGAAAGCUAGGGGAGCGAAUGGG
rnacentral:rRNA from 1 species